GACGGAGGGUGCUAGCGUUGUUCGGAAUGACUGGGCGUAAAGGGCGCGUAGGCGGCCGCUUGCGUCGGAUGUGAAAGCCCGGGGCUCAACCCCGGAACGGCAUCCGAUACGGGGCGGCUCGAGACCGAGAGAGGUGAGUGGAAUACCCGGUGUAGAGGUGAAAUUCGUAGAUAUUGGGUGGAACACCGGUGGCGAAGGCAGCCAUCUGGACCGACACUGACGCUGAGGCGCGAAAGCGUGGGGAGCAAACAGG
rnacentral:rRNA from 1 species